AAAAGGGUAUGAUUAUCGGAUAUUUCCACUUGAGUAAACUGUAAGAUAUUUCCAAAAGGAAAUCCACUGUCUAUUUAAAACGUUAAGGUUCCAACAUGAUAGUUUCGUUAGAAAUUGUUCUUAUACUCCUAGUAAAUCUGUAUAGUCAAAAUGAAUGUGCGAAAAACAACGAAACUACUUCAAAUAUGUACUUUAGCAACACUUAUACUACACCAAUGAUUACCGGAAACAACACAUCUAGUUCAAAUACUACAACUUCUACCGAAUCGUUUCUGGAUAACAAUGCCGUUACAAUACCUGAUACAGAAAGUAACGAUCCAAAUACAACAACUUCUGCAUUGAACAACGAUC